rnacentral:lncRNA from 1 species
CCCAAUUCAUAAAUAAGAUUUUGUUGCUGCAGAGGUACACUUUGCCAAUCUGUCCUCCUGUAAAGUUAAAAGAACUUAUUAAUUAAGGGAUAAUAGUUGAUGAAAAAAAAAGGAAAAUAAAAUUUGAAAGCUGAUGACAUACCUAUAGUAGCAAAAGCUUGGCCCAAAAUUUGAAAGCUGAUGACAUAAGCUUAUCUCAUACGUCGUAAGAGUUCAAAAGAAUAUAAAAAAGAAAUCUUUAAAUAGUAGAUCAUUUGUGAAGCAAUUAGGUGAUGGCAAUAUUGAAGCUUCCAGCUGGAAGAGUGUGUGCAACAGUAUUUCUAAAACCCAUAUUGUACAAUUAACUGAUUCAGUAAACCAACUUUGCUUAAGAAAUAGAACAAUGACAUGGUACUGCUUUCAAAUUAACAAAAGCAUACCCUAAAUCAGUAAUCACAAUUGUAAUAUUGUCCUGUGAGCGUCGGUCCUGUACCAUUUAAAUUGGCAGAUUACAUAAUAGAGAAUUAAAAGUUGUUCACCCGAUUCUCUCACAGAAGUUCCCAAGGUAUAAAGGAUACUGAGAGGUUAGAGGUAAACUAUAUAUUUAUAUUCCUUACCAGAGCUACUUGUCCAAGUGCUUCACAAGCCAUCUGUAAUGAGAAGCGAAUUAGUUAAAAAUUAUUUACAAUAUCAUAAAACCACAAAUCCCUGGUAAAUAAUUUACCUGAGCAUCUCCAUGUUUCCUGAGUUGUUCCCUAACAAAACUUACUGCUUCUGAGCUGCAAAUAACCAAUUAAAGGAGAUGAUACACUUUUCAUGGGUAAAAUAAAGAAAUUAAAACAAUAUAAAUAAAUAUUUAAGAUACUACAUCAGAUGCUAACAAUACAAAUUCUGCAUCUACUCCAAGAUCUACUUGAAAAACAUCAAGGGACACAGUAACCAAGUCUCUAGUAAAUUUUAUCCUGGCACAAAAUAUGUAACACCUUAGUUUUGGAUAAAUAGAAUAUACAAAAUAGAAAUAAAAUAAAUAAAGGUGAGAAACUAACCAUGAUUAUGCCAGCAGCUGAUGCUGCUCUUGCUGUUGCCAACUCUCCUGCAUCAAGAUGUAACCUUUGGGUAAGAUACAAACCAGCUUUCUAUUUUCAUAAUAAGUUGUUCUCCUAGAAAGAGCUUACAGAGCAUCUUUAAACAGAGCAACUUUUCAUUACCAUCUUUUCAGCACAUGUAUGAAUUAUCAUAUAAGAAUUAAGAUAAUCCUAACUCGAUCAACGGAGCUCCUUUUUAUAUUGAGGAUCCAAAGAAAAAUAAAAGGGAACUAACAAGUGUUUCAAGUGAAGAUGCUCUAUUGUAAACAGCUACACCUGCACGUUUCUUUGUUCACGUUUUGUCUGAGCCAAUAUUUUUUCCCCAGCGAAGAACAUCC